rnacentral:lncRNA from 1 species
GCUUGUUCAGGAAUGGGUGUUUCAUGCACUUCUUCUCCAUCUUCUUCAUCAACAUGGGAGCCAUGAUCGGGUGUAGAGUGUGGAUGGGUGCUGUGUACAAAGGUGUUGUAUAGAGGGGUGCUGUUCAUGCAUACUUUUGGACCAACAUGCACAACUUUGAAUUUAGGACAAUCUUUAACAAUAUUCCAACAUUCCCACCGAUGGAAUGAUUUGUUUCUUGAUUUGAUUUUGGCAGCCUACCAUGCUUGUGCUUGAAGUUGCUACAAAUGAAUAAUAAUGAAAUUAUUAGGUAACAAAUAAAUAAUACAAACAAAUAAUAAUAAUGAAAUUAUUAGGUAACAAAUACAUAAUACAAACAAAUGAAUAAUAAUGAAAUUAUUACGUAACAAAUAAAUAAUACAAACAAAUAAUAAUAAUGAAAUUAUUAUUAGGUAACAAAUAAAUAAUACAAACAAAUAAUAAUAAUAAUUAGGUAACAAAUAAAUAAUACAAACAAAUAAUACUAAUGAAAUUAUUAGGUAACAAAUAAAUAAUACAAACAAAUAAUAAUAAUGAAAUUAGGUCACA